UACGUAGGGUGCGAGCGUUGUCCGGAAUUAUUGGGAGUAAAGGGCUCGUAGGCGGUCUGUCGCGUCGGGAGUGAAAACUCAGGGCUUAACCCUGAGCCUGCUUCCGAUACGGGCAGACUAGAGGUAUGCAGGGGAGAACGGAAUUCCUGGUGUAGCGGUGAAAUGCGCAGAUAUCAGGAGGAACACCGGUGGCGAAGGCGGUUCUCUGGGCAUUACCUGACGCUGAGGAGCGAAAGUGUGGGGAGCGAACAGG
rnacentral:rRNA from 1 species